CAUAACAUGGCAGAGAGCAAGAGACAUACUAUAAUUCAGAGAGGUAAAGAAUUACCUGAACUGCAACCGUACAAAACCUGUUGCAGCCUUUACCACUGCCGUUAUUGCAAUAUGUUUAAGCCAACCAGACUGGACAAAUUAAAAUGAUAUCUCCAGAGCCAUUCCAGCAAGGCAGUUGUCCAUGAAGACUUCACCAUACAUAGAUGUGGACUAGGCUGUAGACCAGUCUGUCUUUAAGCUUGACUGGGCCUUGAAGACAAAAUCAAAUCAAAAUCAAAUCACUUUAUUGUCACACAGCCAUAUACACAAGUGCAAUGGUGUGUGAAAUUCUUGGGUGCAGUUCCGAUCAACAUAGCAGUCGUGACAGUGAUGAGACAUACGCCAAUCUACAAUAAACAUCAAAUUAACACAACGCAAUUUAAACAUCUGUUAUACAUAAUUAAACUCGACUUAAAACAUCAAAUUAACACAACACAAUUUAAACAUCUGUUAUACAUAAUUACACAACUUAAAACAUCAAAUUAACACAACACAAUUUAAACAUCUGUUAUACACAAUUACACUCAACAAUAUACAAUA